GCUGUGGCUAGCUCAGUUGGUAGAACAUGGGACUCUCAACCCCAGGGUCGUGGGUUCGAGCCCCACGUUGGGCG